rnacentral:rRNA from 1 species
ACUCAAAUGAAUUGACGGGGACUCGCACAAGCAGAGGAUCAUGUGGUUUAAUUCGACGGUAAACGAAGAACCUUACCAGGGUUUGAAACUUGGUUGAAUAUUUUUGGAAACUUAAAUAGUCGCAAGACAGCUAAGCAGGUGAUGCAUGGCCGUCGUCAGUUCGUGGUUUGAAUUGUUCCCUUAAGUGGGGUAACGAACGCAACCCUCGUUGUCUGUUAUAUAUGUCAGACGAGACUGCCCCCGCAUUAGUAAAUAAACGAAAGUUUGUUUGUUAAUGCGGGGGAGGAAGGCGAGGAUGACGCCAGGUCAGCAUGUCCCUUUGAUACCCUGGGCUACACACGUGAUACAAUGGAUAUUACAACAGGAUGCGACGAAGUAAUUCUGAGCUAAUCCUUUAAAGAUAUCCUAAGUUCGGAUUGAAGUCUGCAACUCGACUUCAUGAAGCUGGAUUUGCUAGUAAUCACAGGUCAGCCAUACUGUGGUGAAUACGUUCUCGAGUCUUGUACACACCGCCCGU